rnacentral:rRNA from 1 species
GACGAACGCUGGCGGCGUGCCUAAUACAUGCAAGUCGAACGCUUCUUUCCUCCCGAGUGCUUGCACUCAAUUGGAAAGAGGAGUGGCGGACGGGUGAGUAACACGUGGGUAACCUACCCAUCAGAGGGGGAUAACACUUGGAAACAGGUGCUAAUACCGCAUAACAGUUUAUGCCGCAUGGCAUAAGAGUGAAAGGCGCUUUCGGGUGUCGCUGAUGGAUGGACCCGCGGUUCAUUAGCUAGUUGGUGAGGUAACGGCUCACCAAGGCCACGAUGCAUAGCCGACCUGAGAGGGUGAUCGGCCACACUGGGACUGAGGCACGGCCCAGACUCCUACGGGAGGCAGCAGUAGGGAAUCUUCGGCAAUGGACGAAAGUCUGACCGAGCAACGCCGCGUGAGUGAAGAAGGUUUUCGGAUCGUAAAACUCUGUUGUUAGAGAAGAACAAGGACGUUAGUAACUGAACGUCCCCUGACGGUAUCUAACCAGAAAGCCACGGCUAACUACGUG